rnacentral:tRNA from 1 species
GUUUUAAUAGUUUAAUAAAAACAUUGGGUCUUGUAAAUCAAAAAUAAGUAUUUUACUUUUAAAACU